UCCCACCGCUGCCGGCCCAGCGCUUUGGGGAGUGACUUCCGGCCAUGCGGGGCCUCUACCGCUGCCAUCGCGGUCCCGGUCUCCUGAAGUGGAACCCGGCUUGGAGUCGAGCGCGACCCCUCGCCCGUGGGCGCAGGCGAUCGAGUAAGGGUGGGGCGGGCCUCAAACCCGGAUCAGAACCCGCCCUGACCGGCGCAGAGAUACGGGACGCAGCCGACUAAGUUGGUGGCCUAGGUGUGGAGGCUGGUGGGGCCACCACCACAGACCACAGGAGGGGAUGUGUGCAGGCCAGGGUCCAGCCUUGCCUGAGGGUUGCACAGUGUUUUAAGUGACUUCUGCACUGGUGGGCCUCUCCUCCCGAAACCAGUCUCUCCCUCUUAACUCCAUACAGUAAGCAAGGCCCGGGAAGAAGUUGGGUUUCCCUGCCAUCCUUCCUGCCCCAGCCCCUCAUCCUCAACUCACCAUCAACCCUUCCACGAUCCCAAAUCGCUCGUGGAUGACUUUGGCGAGGGGAGCCAAACAGUUGGUGGUGCAGGACGCGUUGCUGAAACAGCCAAGGUGUGCACGGACACUGUGAGGUGGUGACCUCCCCAACUCAGCCCUCAACCUCCUCAGAGGCGCCAAUGCUGACUGCUGUCAGCCAGCCCAGACCCUUUCUCCAUAUGCUGCCCGGGACGUGGACUCUGUGACUGUGAGGCCUGCCCGGCUGCUUUCUGCUUCCCAGCUCUGACAACCUCGCCAUGAACCCUCCUAGACCCUCAGCUCCUGCAAUAGGAAGCUGGCUGCCAAAGGCCAGGAGGGUCCCUGAAAACAGACACUGCAUUAAAGAAAAAGCUCCUGGAGGACUCCUGAAGCCUGAGGCAGCCUUGGGGCAGCAGUGGCUCAUGGUUUACAUUGGAAAGGUUUAUCAUGAGUAACCGGGUGCUUUGCUUCUGUGAUUCUUGGCCAGUGUCGGUCUGUUUCCUUUGCCAUUGAGCCUGCUCCCCUCAAUGGGGGGUUCAAUCAAUGUUUGUGGGGUUUGUUUGUUUUGAGACAGGGUCUUCCUCUGUCGCCCAGGCUGGAGUGCAGUGGUGCAAUCAGAGCUCACUGCAGCCUUGAUCUUCCUGGCUCCGGCCAUCCUCCUGCCUUGGCCUCCCGAGUAGCUGGGACUACAGGCGCACACCACCAUGCCAAGCUAAUUUUUAAAUUUUUUUGUAGAGAUGGGGUCUCACUUUUGUUGCCCAGGGUGCUUUAGAACCCCUGGGCUCAAGUGAUCCUUGACCUCCCACAGUGCUGGGAUUACAGGUGUGAGCCACCGUGCCUGGCCUCAUGGGUUUUCUUUGUUUUGUUUUGUUUUGUUUUUGAGACAGAGUCUCACUCUGUCACUCAGGCUGGAGUGCAGUGGCACGAUUUUGGCUCACUGCAACCUCCACCUUCCGGGUUCAAGCGAUUCUCCUGCCUCCGCCUCCCGAGUAGUUGGGGUUACAGGCAUGCGCUACCACACCUGGCUAGUUUUUUAUUGUUGUUGUUUUUUGUAUUUUUAGUGGUGACGGGGUUUGCUCUGUUGGCCAGGCUGGUCUCAAACUCCUGACCUCAGGUGAUCCCCACUUCAGCCUCCCAAAGUGCUGGGAUGACAGGCAUGAGCCUCUGCACCUGGCCUCGUGUUUUUUUUUUAGUUAGCCAUUUUAUACGUGUUUACUGAACACCUGUCCUGUGCCCAUAUUCUAAGUGCCUUACCUGCAUUAAACUCAUGUAACCUUCACAACCCG
rnacentral:lncRNA from 1 species